rnacentral:ncRNA from 2 species
CAUGGUGCCGGUGUCCAUGGUCCCCGCGAGGGGAUAACAGGGAAUCCGGUGCGAGCCUCGGGCUCAAGUCCGGGGCUGCCCCCGCAACUGUCGGCGGAGACGGGUGCCCGCGAUCCACUGGCCAUAAGGCCGGGAAGGAGGGGCCCGGUUCGAUCCGUGAGCCAGGAGACCUACCAUGGAAUUGAGUUUCAC